UUCGAGACCCCACUUUGGGUCCCGACCCCAACUUUGGGAAACACUGAUUUAGAGUAUCCUGGUUAGAAAGGUAGUAGCCUAUGUAUCAGUUAUUGAUUCGAAUCAUGCUCUGUGUUGAAACUUGUAAUAGGAGGUUAACCUUGUGCAGGACCUGUGUAUGGGCUGUACAGGUGGCUAUAUUUAGGGUAAGGGGUUAGGAUGUAGAAAAUAGUGGAAGUCGAUGCAAGUCCUCAACAAGAUAGUAAAACCCUAUGUGUGUGUGUGUGUGUGUGUGGUGGAUGCAAUCUUUGCUAAAUGACAGUGGGAGGCAGUCAGGUCUUUUUUAAGUCUUGCUAAUGACACGGGAUCCUUUGAGAGACGAUAAAAGCAAAGGUUGGGACGGAAGCUGCCCAGCACCUUGACCCUGUGAUUUGAGAAGGUGUUAAAUGCAGAAGCAGUAAAGGUCCAAACUCCGCCGUGCUUUGAAACCCACCCCACCCCCUCCUCCGGGAGAACAGGCCAAAGCUGCAAACAACAGGCAGAUCCUUUCAGCCUCGGUCACACGGCUGCUUCAAACGCUCACAUCAAAUAGCACAGAACUAGCAGUCGCCGCUGACGUGCCAAGACAGACAGGAGUUGGGUGGAAAGUCGGAUGGGUCCCCGAGUUGGGUUGCGGAGGCAAAAGGUCCAGGAGAGAAACCCUGACAUCCCUCCCCCCAGUGAGAUUUUCCACCUCGUCCUAAGGGACCCCAAGGCGUUCUAAGGCCAGAGAGGAUACUAAAUCCCUCCAGUGAGUCCUGGGUCUUCCCCCUGGGCCUCCKGCUGGUGGUACAUGCCCAGAAUACCUCUAAAGGGUGAGAUCAAAGAGACAUCCUAAUCAGAUGCCCGAACCACCUCAACUGACCCCUUUUGAUGCGGAGGAGCAGUGGCUUUACUCUGAGUUCUCCCCGGAUGACGUAACUCCUCGUCUAAGGCUGAGCCCGGCCACCCUAUGAAAGAAACUCUUUUUAGCUGCUUGUAUCCAUGAUCUCCUUCCUUCAGUCAUGAUCCAUGACUCAUGACCAUAGGUUCAUGAUACUUAAACUCCUCCACUUUCCUUUUCCGGUCGAGACCCAUGGCCUCAGAUUUAAAGGAACUGACUCUCAUCCCAGCCACUUCACACUUGGCUGCAAACUGCCCCAGAGCACGAUGAAAGUCUUGGCCUGAAGAUGACAACAUAACAUCAUCCACAUAAAGCAGAGACAAGACUCUGUGGUUCCAAACCAGACACCCUCCUCUCCACAAGUGUGCCUUGAGACCCUGUCCAUAAACACUACAAACAGGAUCGGAGACAUGGGACAGCCCUGGCAGAGAGUCCAACCAGCACUGAGAAAAAGCUCCUGCUCUGGUCAUAUAGGCACUGGAUCACUCUUAAUAGCAACCCAGACAUUCUAUACUCCCACAGCACAACCCCUCACAGGAUGCCUCAAGGAAUACGAUCAUAAGCCUUCUCCAUGUCUGAAAAACUCAUGUAGACCAGAGAUGUAAACUCCCAUGACUCCUUUAGCAACUCYGCAAAAUAUCUGGUCCACUGUUCCACAACCAGGGYAGAAGCCACAGUGCUCCUCUUGCAUUUGUGAUUCGAUGAUCGAUUUCUACUUUAACAAUUUCCAUUUAACAAAAGUGUAACAAUAAAACAUUGGAGCAGACACAGAAACAAUCAUAUUUGAAACCAUCCGUAGCUUAUUCACAACUUGAGGGUUUUGCCAGAUUGAAGUUCUAAAAUUACAUGUAAGAAACUGGAAGACAAACUUGCUUUCUCACGUGAGUUAUUGCAUGUUUCUCUAUCUGUGUCCUUUUCCUGACAAUCUGAGUUGUACAACCCUGUGUUCAGCUAUGUGUUCAUCUGUUGUAUAAAAAAUAAAAUAAAACAGUGGUCUUUUUUCUGUA